AUAAUACUCCCUCCGUCCCAAAAUCUUGUCAUAGAUUUGUCUAGAUAUGGAUGUAUCUAAUACUAAAACAUGACUUGAUACAUCCGUAUUUAAACAAAUCUAAGACAAGAAUUUUGGGACGGAGGGAGUAUGUG
rfam:Triticum aestivum genome assembly, contig: Triticum_aestivum_CS42_TGACv1_scaffold_177478_2DS